GGCCUACCAUGCAGUCGAGCGGAAACGAGUUAUCUGAACCUUCGGGGAGCGAUAACGGCGUCGAGCGGCGGACGGGUGAGUAAUGCCUAGGAAAUUGCCCUGAUGUGGGGGAUAACCAUUGGAAACGAUGGCUAAUACCGCAUGAUGCCUACGGGCCAAAGAGGGGGACCUUCGGGCCUCUCGCGUCAGGAUAUGCCUAGGUGGGAUUAGCUAGUUGGUGAGGUAAGGGCUCACCAAGGCGACGAUCCCUAGCUGGUCUGAAGGAUGAUCAGCCACACUGGAACUGAGACACGGUCCAGACUCCUACGGGAGGCAGCAGUGGGGAAUAUUGCACAAUGGGCGCAAGCCUGAUGCAGCCAUGCCGCGUGUGUGAAGAAGGCCUUCGGGUUGUAAAGCACUUUCAGUCGUGAGGAAGGCGGUGUAGUUAAUAGCUGCAUCGUUUGACGUUAGCGACAGAAGAAGCACCGGCUAGCUCCGUGCCAGCAGCCGCGGUAAUACGGAGGGUGCGAGCGUUAAUCGGAAUUACUGGGCGUAAAGCGCAUGCAGGUGGUUUGUUAAGUCAGAUGUGAAAGCCCGGGGCUCAACCUCGGAAUUGCAUUUGAAACUGGCAGACUAGAGUACUGUAGAGGGGGGUAGAAUUUCAGGUGUAGCGGUGAAAUGCGUAGAGAUCUGAAGGAAUACCGGUGGCGAAGGCGGCCCCCUGGACAGAUACUGACACUCAGAUGCGAAAGCGUGGGGAGCAAACAGGAUUAGAUACCCUGGUAGUCCACGCCGUAAACGAUGUCUACUUGGAGGUUGUGGCCUUGAGCCGUGGCUUCGGAGCUAACGCGUUAAGUAGACCGCCUGGGGAGUACGGUCGCAAGAUUAAAACUCAAAUGAAUUGACGGGGGCCCGCACAAGCGGUGGAGCAUGUGGUUUAAUUCGAUGCAACGCGGAGAACCUUACCUACUCUUGACAUCCAGAGAACUUUCCAGAGAUGGAUUGCCUUCGGGAACUCUGAGACAGGUGCUGCAUGGCUGUCGUCAGCUCGUGUGAAUGUUGGUUCCGCACGAGCGCACCAUCCUUUGCAGCGAGUAUGCAGACUGCGAUAACAAGGACAGCAUCACUC
rnacentral:rRNA from 1 species